GUGCCAGCCGCCGCGGUAAUACAGAGGGUGCAAGCGUUAAUCGGAAUUACUGGGCGUAAAGGGAGCGUAGGUGGCUCUAUAAGUCAGAUGUGAAAGCCCGGGCUCAACCUGGGGAUGGCAACCGAUACUGACGUGCUUGAGUGCAGUAGAGGGAGGUAGAAUUCCAGGUGUAGCGGUGAAAUGCGUAGAGAUCUGGAGGAAUACCAGUGGCGAAGGCGGCCUCCUGGACUGACACUGACGCUGAGGCGCGUAAGCGUGGGUAGCAAACAGGAUUAGAAACCCCCGUAGUCC
rnacentral:rRNA from 1 species